AACUGGAGAUGGCGACCGGCGCACGGGUGAGUAACACGUAUCCAACCUGCCGAUAACUCGGGGAUAGCCUUUCGAAAGAAAGAUUAAUACCCGAUGGCAUAAUAGAACCGCAUGGUUUGAUUAUUAAAGAAUUUCGGUUAUCGAUGGGGAUGCGUUCCAUUAGGCAGUUGGUGGGGUAACGGCCCACCAAACCUUCGAUGGAUAGGGGUUCUGAGAGGAAGGUCCCCCACAUUGGAACUGAGACACGGUCCAAACUCCUACGGGAGGCAGCAGUGAGGAAUAUUGGUCAAUGGACGAGAGUCUGAACCAGCCAAGUAGCGUGAAGGAUGACUGCCCUAUGGGUUGUAAACUUCUUUUAUAUGGGAAUAAAGUGGUCCACGUGUGGAUUUUUGUAUGUACCAUAUGAAUAAGGAUCGGCUAACUCCGUGCCAGCAGCCGCGGUAAUACGGAGGAUCCGAGCGUUAUCCGGAUUUAUUGGGUUUAAAGGGAGCGUAGGUGGACAGUUAAGUCAGUUGUGAAAGUUUGCGGCUCAACCGUAAAAUUGCAGUUGAUACUGGCUGUCUUGAGUACAGUAGAGGUGGGCGGAAUUCGUGGUGUAGCGGUGAAAUGCUUAGAUAUCACGAAGAACU
rnacentral:rRNA from 1 species